rnacentral:tRNA from 1 species
CCAACCAUAGCUCAGUUGGUAGAGCGGAGGACUGUAGAUCCUUAGGGCACUGGUUCGAAUCCGGUUGGUUGGA